GCAGGUGUCUGUGAUAAGGUGUGUGGUUCCCAGCUGUGAGAGGUAAGAGACUGUUGCUGCUUCUGGCAGCUCCUGCUCAUCCUGGGCACUACAGCUAGUGGGGAAGCUGCUCUGGGAGCUGUUAGAUUGACCCAUCUGUUGCCUGGAAGGGACAGUGUUCCUGAUGAUCUUUCGGCUAGAGAAGCCUUGUGGCACGUCUGCUACAGAGCUGGCUGACAUCAGCAGUGUCCUGGCACCAGUGGCACCAAAUGAGAUGGAGUGAUUUCUCAUGUAGUGUUACAGUAAUGACCAACGUGACACAGAAGGAAAAUUCUGUGACAAUAUGUCCCAGACUAAACUGGAAUUGUCAGGAAUUUGUCAACACAAAGACUGGGAUUUGGGUCAUAUUUUAGGUAUGUUGACUAACCUGAUGUCCUGGGGAUAACUGUAUGUAUUUAUCAAACUGAAAAUGGAUACCAGCUAAGGAAAGUACAUGCUAUUCUACAUGCUAUUCCUGCAUGCUAUUCUACAGUUCUGUGUGAAUAUCCAUGAAUACUGAAUUGUUUUUCUGGAGGAAAUAUGUAAAAGCAUGAAGGUGAUCAUCAGUUAGCCUCUGCUCCAUGUUGAAUUGUGCAGUUUAGAAAAUGAUGGGGAAAAGAAAUUUAUUUCCAACUAGAGUUUGAUCAUGAAAUAAACAGGAGGCUACUUCCUACAUGAAAUAAACAGGAGAUAUGUCUGUGAGCUAAAAGGAAGAGGAAAACCUCAAUAUGCAGCAAGAAACAUCUAUUAUUAAAGCUCUUAAUAACCUUUUCAAGACUAAGACUCUGUUACCAUUUCCCUGAGCUGUACAGAAUCACACAGAUUACAAUUGGCUACUUGGAGUGUUUCAGCUUCAGUGAAAGAAUUAAGGCAAGGUGUUUUCUUUUUGCAUCCUGGAUUUUUUUUUUCCUAAUCACUCUGUACUGACUCAUCAAUAUGAACUUUUAUGUACUGUGUUGUUUGGUUUUAACCAGCUACAAAACUUUAGAUAGUAACCAUGGUAAAGAGGAGCUACAUCUCUCCUUCAGGUGCACGUGCUUUGUCUGCAGUGUUUGCAGGGAUGCUCUAGGGCACUGUGCUGCUCAGCCUCCAUUCUCUCACCCUGCUUUCCUUUGGAAGAGAGUUUGGGGCAUAACCAGGGAAGGAACUGUGAUACCCUCCAAAAGGUCGGUGACCACUCCUGGGGAAUGUGGUGGGUCAUACUGUCCCACAGUACAGACACAGAUAUUUAAAUGGAGUGUGUUCACAGAAAGUGCAUUGACAUCAGCUGAUGCCAGUUAAGGAUGCUGAAAUAUCUAUAGCUUUUUGCUGCUAAAAUUGUGAACUAGGAGGAGCCAAGAACAAGGCAUUCUCCUAGACAGGACUCCUGCCUUCUCAUCCAUAAUUCUCUCUGAAGGAAAAAGUGAAAAAAAACCCACUAAAAAUAAUAAAACCCCAGCUUUUGCACAAUGACACAUAGCCUGGACCAUGAAGAAGGUAACUGAAUGAGAGAUUGAACUGUGUUCAUUAUCCACAGCGUAAAACAAGCCUGGUAUCUUUUGCUUUGCUUUAGUGAGGAAAGGUUAGAGCUCAUUCACUCAGUCUUGUGGCACACUGUACUCUUUUCAACUGUCUCCAGCUGAGACAAGGUAUUUGAGUAAUAUGAAUAGAGGCUCUUAUCCUGUGAGCAAUUAUAUGUGGGUUUAAAGUAGCUGUUAGGCUCUAAUGGUCUUACAAAAAAGUUUUCUCAGUGUUCUUUGUUUAUAACCAUUAUUUCAUAAUAAGAAUAUUCUAUAUGAGGACAAGGUAUAACCCCUUUUUGAUACACAAAAAACUAUUUUCAAGAAUUCUUUUAAAAUAAUACAUAGGCUUUUUCAGAAUAAAAGCUUUGGCUUCUAUCUAACUAUACAUAUUUUUGAAAGGGAUAGGGGCUUUUUUUCCCCUACCGUUCUUUUCCUUUGGCUUUAAUUUAGUUUGCUUUAUUCAGACCUUAGGUCAAAGAAUUUUCACAUUUAAUAUAUGUAUCCUGAUGGGGGCUCUGAGCACAUUUUUGAAUCUGGGAAUUUAGAAGGGCACCUCUAUUUGAUAUGUAGAGAUGUACACCUGCAAAGUCUCAGCCUGGAUCUUUCAAACCUGCAGGCCUUACACUUGUGAUCACACGCGUUUGCUAAUUUGUGCAUGUACCUAUUGUUCCCUUUGAUUUCAGAAGCUGAGGGAAUUUAAUGUCUGAAUACAGAGCUCAGGACUGAACUGGAGGAACCCAGGCUUUGUGAAUGCUGCUCUUGGUUCACAGAAAGUUAUCAAAUGGCAAAAUGCAAGUGCCCAAUUCUUUUAUUCCCCAAUGCAGGUGUCACAGUAACACAGUGAUAGCCUUCCCUUUUCUUGCAGCAGCAUCCCUACCAUGCCUUUGAAAGAGAUGAAGUCUUUCAGAUCAGUGAGUUGUGUCUUUAUAAUGCCCAGGGAACAAUUGCUCCUGUUCUUCAACUGAAAGCAAAACAAAUUCCCCCAUGUAAUUAAGGCUGAACACACACAGCCAUUGUUUCCAUCCCUUCUGUGUUAUAAUAUUAUAAUGCAAGAUGUCACUGUGUGCUUAAUAGUGUUUCCCAAGCACAAACAGUGGGGUGGCCCAGCUCGUCCUCCUCUCAGCACAGAAAGGCGAGGUUGUAGGCACCUCUCCCUGGCUAUAACUGCGUUACGCCAUGUGGAGUAAAACAGCUUCUGCCAGCAAUGCUGCUUUGUCUCACAGAGAAGCAAUUUUUUAAGAGAUUUGAUAAAUUGUCUUGUCACACUUGGAUUAAACUAUUGAUUUACCAACACUCUUUCUUUGUAUGUUGACCCAGGAAAACACAGUGGAUGCUAUUUAGAAUAUUACAAACCCUCUGCCAUAUGCAUGUUGUCUAGCCUACACUUCAACCCUAUCACCUUUCAGCAGAUUGCUUCAGACAAGAGGUCUCACGGGCAGGGAAUCUGCAAUGCAUAUAAGCUUACUUGCUCGUUUAAUACAAGAGAGUCCUAGACACUGACCUUGUCUAUAGCUUCCAGCUUGGCAGGGCUGUAACACCACAAAGACCUGCAAAUCCCUUUUUAACAAGGCUACCUGAACCAAAUGGCCCAGGUCCAAAUAGAUGAAAACAUGAAGAUGUCCAGCAGAUCUGUUGCCUACACUGCUCACUGGAAAAUUGUCUGAAGCUGCUGUACUGGUGUCUGCUUAUGUGGUUCAGUAUCAAAUGCUACCAUAAUAGCCUGUCUGCUGUCUGUUCCUAAAUGUUUUAACACAUUUUCUAGGGGAGAGCUUCUAUCCUAGGAAGGUGUGUGUCUUCCUGUAUUCCCCCAAGCUUGUUUCUGCAUCACUUUCCAUUAGUCUAGCAAAGAACAGAGGGAACCUAGAUACAGAAGCACACAUGGUGAGGAUUUUCAGCACCUGGGUGCUGUGUGGCAUGCUGAUGUCCUGCAGGAAUUUGCUGUUUCACAACAGAGAUCUUCACUUAGCCAAGAUCAAUAUUUCCAGUCUAAGCAGGGCUCAUCUCAUUGGAGGUGAUAUUUCUGGGCUCUUUAAUUGUUUCCAUAACUGUCAUAGGCACUGUUUCAUGGAAAUGCUAUUGUAUGUCUAGCACCAGAAAAGGAUAUUAAAUUGAAAAAAAAAAAAAAAAGACUUGUUUUGGCCCCAGGAGAAAACACAUGAUGAUAAAGCUUAAACUGCACUUCAGCAAAACUGUGCCAAUUAGGUGUUACCAAAGACCAUUCCCACUUCUGGAUUACCCAGACCAGAAAAUUUCAAGGUAGUGUCAGAAAUAAUUUUAUGAACAAAAAAGUUUUCCCUUUUUCCUGCCUAGGAAUAGCUUUUGUAUCACCAAUUAUAUCAGGUCUUCUUUCACCUGUGAUAAAGGAGGAAAGACAUGGCAAACUGUAGAGUUGGUUUUAAAGCAGUAGGUGAGUGGCAAUUGGCAAAACUGGUAGCCUAUUGUCUAUCACAUACUUAUUUUAAUACUUAUGGGACCGGUGACUCCAGCACCGGCCAGAAUAUCCCAUAUAAUUCUUUUGUGCUGGCUCAUGGAUAAUGCCACUCAGCUUCUAUGAGGUCAGGUCAAAUGAUGUCACACAGUAUGAUGUGACAUACCCUGGUACACUGUGCAAUGUAACAAUCUUUCGGUUUCUAAAUAGAAACUCUUGGUCCUGGAUGUAUUGUUGCAUUCUUAUUCAAAGACUUGGAGUGUCUGUUGACAGAGCACUUAGUUGAAUAUGAACAUUCCACAUAAAAAAUAAUAAGGUGCAAAACUUCAUCACGCACAAUGGCCACAGUUAAAACUGUCCCCCUUUUGUUUGCUUUAUGUCCUGAUAAAAUAAAAACCAAACAACUGAAGUCCCCGCAGAAUCAUGGAAUCCUCUUAAAUCGCCCUCUGAAGCUCACGGAAGGUGGGCAUCAAUAGGCAUAUUGAAGGGAGGGUUUCCAGACAAAAGUCCUUGCCUAAGGAAGCACUGUCUGAGCCUGAUAGCUCCAGGGAUUGACAGCAAGGGCUACUCAGCUGCACUUAUCUCAAAGGCUGGAGGGGGAAGGUGGCAGGUGUAUAGACAAAGGUGGUGUCCUUCCUACGGCAGACUCUGAAAAAUUCAGGGUUAUCACUGACAUCUUGAGCAGUGAAGAGCAAGGGACAGAAAGUGAGGGUGAGAGUGGGAAAUAUGACACCCGUGCUCGCAGGAAGCCCCUGGCAGGCAGGAAUGCUGGACUGUGCAGUAAGUAUUGCUGUAAUCACUGCUGCUGACAUUAAUAAAAAAACCCCAUACUGUGUGCAUCCCAACACAAGCAUCCAGAUACAAACUAGAAGAGGGGAGGUUUCAUUUGCAAAUCCUGUUUCUCAGCUGUUUUGUAAUUUAACACAUGCCCAGAUUGUGGCCUCUAGGCACAAGAAAUUAAACUUCAGGGUGAAAAUCACCAACCAGUAACCAUGUGAUAUUAGAAACACUGCCCAGAACUUACACCAAACAUUACUGAAAGAGAAAUAAAAUCAGUCAAUCAAACUGUCAGUGAGCAAUAAGCAGAUAACUCUCACAAUAUAGAAGGGACUUACACCUCUCCUUUGUCCACAAUUGCCAAUAUAAUGAUCUCCAAGCAGGCUCUUCUCUGGCUUCAGCCUCGCAAAUUCUUUUCCUGCACAGAUAUUCUAUUCACAAGGACAGAUGGGGAGAGUACCAGUAAUGAAAAACACUAUCUGCUAAGUUUUCUGGAAACUAAUUCAACAGGAUAGUCGGAAGAGAAGUCUAAUUAAAAGAGCUGCUUGUUGGCAUGUAGAUUUUGAGGUCUUUGCUGAUCCCUAUUUAGGCAAAAAAUAAGAUAUUUCCCACUCUAAGGAGACAAAAUGUGUCUCAUGGAGAAGCCUGCCUUUUGUCUGGAUUUAAUUCUCUGCUGUUAAGAAUAGGGCAGGGUAAAUUAUUUGAUCUCUGUAGGUUGGCUGCCAAAUAAGCAAAACUCCACCAAAUUUUGAACACCCAGGCUAUAAUUCCCAGAAUCACUUCUGAAGUUUUUGGUAGUGAUAAUCUCUGUCUCUGACUGAAUAGAUCACACAAAUAUUCUUUGCAAUGGAGAAUGUUAUCUGGAGAAACAGGAUUCCUUAUCUCAAAAUAUUCUUUAGUCGGGAAUUGAAAAUAUUUUUUGAAAGAUCAUAAGCCCUUUCUUUAAGCUCAUCUCAAGUGUACUUUUCCACCAGCCCUGUACUUUUCUGGUUUAAAAGUUCCUAUAGGUAAUACUGGUUGUUCAUGAACUUUUCCCUCCCUAAACAGUUUGUAGAUUCUAAUUAGUAUAAGGUUUUUUCUUCUUUUCCAUCUAAAUAAUUUCUAGUAUUAUUAAAAAUAAUUGCU